CCUACGGGUGGCAGCAGUGGGGAAUAUUGGACAAUGGGGGCAACCCUGAUCCAGCCAUGCCGCGUGUGUGAAGAAGGCCCUCGGGUUGUAAAGCACUUUCAGUGAGGAAGAAAGCCUGGUGGUUAAUACCCAUCAGGAAAGACAUCACUCACAGAAGAAGCACCGGCUAACUCCGUGCCAGCAGCCGCGGUAAUACGGAGGGUGCGAGCGUUAAUCGGAAUUACUGGGCGUAAAGCGCGCGUAGGUGGCUUGAUAAGCCGGUUGUGAAAGCCCCGGGCUCAACCUGGGAACGGCAUCCGGAACUGUCAAGCUAGAGUGCAGGAGAGGAAGGUAGAAUUCCCGGUGUAGCGGUGAAAUGCGUAGAGAUCCGGAGGAAUACCAGUGGCGAAGGCGGCCUACUGGACUGACACUGACACUGAGGUGCGAAAGCGUGGGUAGCAAACAGGAUUAGAUACCCCUGUAGUC
rnacentral:rRNA from 1 species